rnacentral:rRNA from 1 species
AACGAACGCUGGCGGCAUGCCUAACACAUGCAAGUCGAACGAGAUCUUCGGGUCUAGUGGCGCACGGGUGCGUAACGCGUGGGAACCUGCCCUUAGGUUCGGAAUAACUUCCCGAACGGGGUGCUAAUACCGGAUAAUGUCUUCGGACCAAAGAUUUAUCGUCUUUGGAUGGGCCCGCGUUGGAUUAGCUAGUUGGUAGGGUAAAAGCCUACCAAGGCGACGAUCCAUAGCUGGUCUGAGAGGAUGAUCAGCCACACUGGGACUGAGACACGGCCCAGACUCCUACGGGAGGCAGCAGGGGGGAAUAUGGGACGAUGGGCGAAAGCCUGAUCCAGCAGUGCCGCGUGAGUGAUGAAGGCCUGAGGGUUGUAAAGCUCUUUUACCCGGGAUGAUAAUGACAGUACCGGGAGAAUAAGCUCCGGCUAACUCCGUG